AAAUUGUAGUGGUGCCUUUUGUGAUGUGGACAUCUGCCCACUGAAUCUGGAAAAGCCCACCAACACGUUCCAUGCUUAAAAGGUUCCUCCUGCUGCAAGGAUCAUGAUCAAAUAUCACUGGGGCCCCAAACUUGAGUUUACCUGGGAUCUACUCCAUGGAUUUGUUGAGAAGCUCAAAUCAUGAUGGUGACACACAGUUAUCCUCCUGCCCCAGGCUUCUGCAAGUCCCAGUCUUAUACCUUUACCCUAAGGAAAGAGGGAGGAACAGGCAUGGUCAUUGAGGUUGGCUGCUUCGUUCCUUCAUGCUGGAAGCGGUGCGUAUCCCCUGUUCCAGUCCCUCGAUGAAGCAGCUCAGCUCCUCGUGCAGCGCCCUGGAGAGGCAUCAGGCUCCAUCCCAGCAAGGAGUGUAUAUCAGAGUCUUGAUGUGAAGGUGUAAAGGCAGAGCAACAGUUUACUCUUUCAAAACAUUGGACCAGUUCCU